GCACUCUGGUUUCCCUUCAAAACGAAUAAAUCUUUCGCCUUUUUACUAAAGAUUUCCGUGGGAGGGGAACAUUAAAUGAGUCUAUAAGGUAUUUUUCGUAGUGCUCGGCUAUUGCUGAGCC